UACGGGGGGGGCAAGCGUUGUUCGGAAUUACUGGGCGUAAAGGGCGCGUAGGCGGUUCGCUAAGUUGGAUGUGAAAACUCUGGGCUCAACCCAGAGCCUGCAUCCAAAACUGGCGGGCUAGAGUUCUGGAGGGGGUAGCGGAAUUCCUGGUGUAGCGGUGAAAUGCGUAGAUAUCAGGAGGAACACCCAUUGCGAAGGCAGCUCGCUGGGACGUUACUGACGCUGAGACGCGAAAGCGUGGGGAGCAAACAGG
rnacentral:rRNA from 1 species